rnacentral:rRNA from 1 species
AGAGUUUGAUCCUGGCUCAGGACGAACGCUGGCGGCGUGCCUAAUACAUGCAAGUGGGGCGCAAGGAAACACACUGUGCUUGCACACCGUGUUUUCUUGAGUCGCGAACGGGUGAGUAACGCGUAGGUAACCUGCCUAUUAGCGGGGGAUAACUAUUGGAAACGAUAGCUAAUACCGCAUAAUAUUAAUUAUUGCAUGAUAAUUGAUUGAAAGAUGCAAGCGCAUCACUAGUAGAUGGACCUGCGUUGUAUUAGCUAGUUGGUAAGGUAAGAGCUUACCAAGGCGACGAUACAUAGCCGACCUGAGAGGGUGAUCGGCCACACUGGGACUGAGACACGGCCCAGACUCCUACGGGAGGCAGCAGUAGGGAAUCUUCGGCAAUGGACGAAAGUCUGACCGAGCAACGCCGCGUGAGUGAAGAAGGUUUUCGGAUCGUAAAGCUCUGUUGUAAGUCAAGAACGUGUGUGAGAGUGGAAAGUUCACACAGUGACGGUAGCUACCAGAAG